rnacentral:rRNA from 1 species
UCAGACGAUGCGUCAUGCAUAUCAAUAAGCGGAGGAAAAGAAACUAACAAGGAUUCCCCUAGUAACGGCGAGUGAAGCGGGAAGAGCUCAAAUUUGAAAUCUUAAAGGGUUUCCCUUUACGAAUUGUAGUUUAAAGAAGUGUUUUCUGUUGAGGUUUUGGUAAAAGUUCUUUGGAAUAGGACAUCAUAGAGGGUGAGAAUCCCGUAUUUGACCUUUACUUUCAACUUUGUGAUACACUUUCAAAGAGUCGGAUUGUUUGGGAAUGCAGUCCAAAAUGGGUGGUAAAUUUCAUCUAAAGCUAAAUAUUGGCGAGAGACCGAUAGCGAACAAGUACCGUGAGGGAAAGAUGAAAAGAACUUUGAAAAGAGAGUUAAACAGUACGUGAAAUUGUCAAGAGGGAAGCGUUUGACACCAGUGCUGUUUUUCUGAAAAUCAAUUAAAGAACUGUUUAUGCUAAGCUGUUUAGACUUUAUCAGCUAUCUGUUUAGUUUUGAGCUUUUCUUUAAUGCACUUUUCAGUUAACAAGUCAACAUCAAUUUCUUUUGCUGUAAAAAAGCUUGAGGAAGGUGGCUUGAGAUUCGUCUUAAGUGUUUAUAGCCUCUUGCCUAUGCAGUCGGAGAGAUUGAGGUCUGCAGCGUAGAUCCUUCGGGGCUAAAUGCAUUUGUGCUAAGUUAUAGCAUUUUAUAGACAACUUGUUGACUAUGAUUUGUCUUGUAGCUUACUCGCUUAUGUUAUUUUACCUACGCUUAGGAUGUUGAAUCUGUGCGAGACUAC